rnacentral:rRNA from 1 species
UACGGGGGGGGCAAGCGUUGUUCGGAAUUACUGGGCGUAAAGGGCUCGUAGGUGGCCAACUAAGUCAGACGUGAAAUCCCUCAGCUUAACUGGGGAACUGCGUCUGAUACUGGAUGGCUUGAGUUCGGGAGAGGGAUGCGGAAUUCCAGGUGUAGCGGUGAAAUGCGUAGAUAUCAGGAGGAACACCGGUGGCGAAGGCGGGUCUCUGGGCAGUAACUGACGCUGAGGAGCGAAAGCAUGGGGAGCGAACAGG